rnacentral:tRNA from 1 species
GCCUUCUGGCGAUUUACUCAAAGCAAGCUCCCUUUUUGGGGUUUCAGGAAAGCGCUUUUGCGUUUUAUGAGAUUAUGCCGGGGAAGGUUUUCCGGUUUGUCCCGGAGGGCUUGUAGCUCAGCUGGUUAGAGCGCGCGCUUGAUAAGCGUGAGGUCGGAGGUUCAAGUCCUCCCAGGCCCACCAUUUAGAAGCUUUUUAACAGCUGCUUAUGAGAUUUUGUGAUGUCUGUUUGUAUUGCAAGCAGGUCAUCGGAAAUCGGUUCGCUUAAUUCUAGUUUCCUAUUGAAGUUACUUAUUAAGGGGCGUCAUAGGCGAAGGUUUUAGAGCUUUAUGUUCCGUUUUUAAGGGGCCGUAGCUCAGCUGGGAGAGCACCUGCUUUGCAAGCAGGGGGUCGUCGGUUCGAUCCCGUCCGGCUCCACCAUUUAGGUUAUCAUUAUCGUUGUAGGAACGGUAUUUGCGAAAGGUUUUUGGAUCUUUUGCGUGUUCUAUUGAAAUUGUGAAGAGAAGAUAUAUUCAGACAUGUU